UUAUUAUACAAUGACCUUCAAUUUAAUGUUGAUAAAUAGGACUGUGCUUUGUAGCCUUCUUUUACUAUAAACUUGUAUUUGGUGCUUCGUUAUGAUUGUUUCAAAACUGAUAGUAUCGGCUUUUCUUUCAUUCGUUAUCUGCACGUGUUUCGCACAGAAUCCUGGUGAUCACCCUCCAUUGUCCAGACAUGGAUUGGUUACGGAUCAGCACUUACGAAUGAUGUCAAAUAUGAUGCUAAAAUAUGUUAUAUCCAAAGGAUGUGACUAUGUGCACGCAUUUGUCAAGGGACAUUAUUACAAGUAUGGUCAUGUUGAUGAUGACCACACCCACAAUAGAGACGGCACUGUAAAAACGUGUGACUGGAAACCUUGGGUUGAGAAAAAGUGUGGCCAAUACCACAUCCCAAUUGAAUUAUGCUGCGCGCUCAUGGACUGCGGUGCCCCCAGCAGCAUGGACGCUCUAGGUGCGCCAUACGACAUGGUCGAAAAAUGUAACAUGACGGACGAUAUGCAUAGGAUACAUGGGUUUGGAAAACGAAGCAGUAAUGGUAGGUAUGGUGAUCCACAGUCCACAAGUCACAUGUGCCAAGGUUUUCAAGCUGCAAUAAUGAUCGGAAAACGUGAAGGUCCAUUGGAUUCAGCUGUCGUUCAUCAAAUAAAAAAUGUUACGCUACUAUCGCAACAUGGACAUCUUGCACUGGACAACCAGUUUCAAAAAUUCCAGUGCAAGGGAAGACGUUCUGAACAGUGCGCGAUCUAGACUGAUUCGAAGAUGGUGUAAAGUCUUUAGUAGGAACAUCAACAAGAAAUACCAUCUGAACGAAAUAAAGUUCACCCGACGAUCGAUGUACUGGUUGGUGGACAUAUACAAAGCUUCGCUGCAACAUCACGUACCGAAUUACUACACACAUGGGCUUGUUGGGUGUGGUAUAGAUUAUGCUAUGGUCGCUUUCAACGUACAAAAAUGGCAAACAACUUUAUACAAACUUGCAUUGAAAUAAAUGGAAUCUAUUUGGUAUCACUUUAUUUUAAAUGAUUCUAUUUCUGAAAUAUUCACUGCGAAAACGGCAGAUAAUUAUUUUCAAUAGUUAGUUUUCCAUUGGUACCGUUUUGUUUGUGACGAGUUAUGUUACUUGAAAAUUUUCAAUGUUAAAUGAACAUACGUUGAAAUAAAUGGGGAGCGCUGUUUUUGUUGAA
rnacentral:lncRNA from 1 species